rnacentral:rRNA from 1 species
AGAAUCAACGCUGGCGGCGUGCCUAACACAUGCAAGUCGAACGAGAAAGUGGAGCAAUCCAUUAGUAAAGUUGCGCACGGGUGAGUAACACGUGACUAACCUACCCUUGAGUGGGGGAUAACCUAGGGAAACCUGGGCUAAUACCGCAUAAUACCUUCGGGUCAAAGGAGCAAUUCGCUUAAGGAGGGGGUCGCGGCCGAUUAGCUAGUUGGCGGGGUAAUGGCCCACCAAGGCGAUGAUCGGUAU